rnacentral:rRNA from 1 species
GAUGAACGCUGGCGGCGUGCCUAAUACAUGCAAGUCGAGCGAACAGACGAGGCUCUUGCUCCUCUGACGUUAGCGGCGGACGGGUGAGUAACACGUGGAUAACCUACCUAUAAGACUGGGAUAACUUCGGGAAACCGGAGCUAAUACCGGAUAAUAUAUUGAACCGCAUGGUUCAAUAGUGAAAGACGGUUUUGCUGUCACUUCUAGAUGGAUCCGCGCCGCAUUAGCUAGUUGGUACGGUAACGGCUUACCAAGGCCACGUUGCGUAGCCGACCUGAGAGGGGGAUCGGCCACGCUGGAACUGAGGGCCGGUCCAGACUCCUACGGGAGGCAGCAGUAGGGAAGCUGCCGCAAUGGGCGAAUGCCUGACGAAGCAACGCCGCGUGAGUGAUGAAGGUCGUCGGAUCGUAAAACUCUGUUAUUAGGGAAGAACAAAUGUGUAAGUAACUAUGCACGUCUUGACGGUACCUAAUCAGAAAGCCACGGCUAACUACGUG